GCAAUUAUACAGCGAAACUGCGAAUGGCUCAUUAUAUAAGUUAUCGUUUAUUUGAUAGUACCUUACUACUUGGAUAACCGUGGUAAUUCUAGAGCUAAUACAUGCUAAAAAUCCCGACUUCGGAAGGGAUGUAUUUAUUAGAUUAAAAACCAAUGCCCUCUGGGCUCCUUGGUGAUUCAUGAUAACUCUUCGAAUCGCACGGCCUUGCGCCGGCGAUGGUUCAUUCAAAUUUCUUCCCUAUCAACUUUCGAUGUUUGGGUAUUGGCCAAACAUGGUUGCAACGGGUAACGGAGGGUUAGGGCUCGACCCCGGAGAAGGAGCCUGAGAAACGGCUACUACAUCCAAGGAAGGCAGCAGGCGCGCAAAUUACCCAAUCCCGAUUCGGGGAGGUAGUGACAAUAAAUACUGAUACAGGGCUCUUUUGGGUCUUGUAAUUGGAAUGAGUACAAUUUAAAUCCCUUAACGAGGAACAAUUGGAGGGCAAGUCUGGUGCCAGCAGCCGCGGUAAUUCCAGCUCCAAUAGCGUAUAUUAAAGUUGUUGUGGUUAAAAAGCUCGUAGUUGAACCUUGGGCCUGGCUGGCCGGUCCGCCUCACCGCGUGCACUGGUCCGGCCGGGCCUUUCCCUCUGUGGAACCCCAUGCCCUUCACUGGGCGUGGCGGGGAAACAGGACUUUUACUUUGAAAAAAUUAGAGUGCUCCAGGCAGGCCUAUGCUCGAAUACAUUAGCAUGGAAUAAUGAAAUAGGACGCGUGGUUCUAUUUUGUUGGUUUCUAGGACCGCCGUAAUGAUUAAUAGGGACAGUCGGGGGCAUCAGUAUUCAAUGGUCAGAGGUGAAAUUCUUGGAUUCAUUGAAGACUAACUACUGCGAAAGCAUUUGCCAAGGAUGUUUUCAUUAAUCAGGAACGAAAGUUAGGGGAUCGAAGACGAUCAGAUACCGUCGUAGUCUUAACCAUAAACUAUGCCGACUAGGGAUCGGACGAUGUUAUUUUUUGACGCGUUCGGCACCUUACGAGAAAUCAAAGUGCUUGGGCUCCAGGGGGAG
rnacentral:rRNA from 1 species